ACUGCUGCCAAUCUACCUACCACUGUCAAUCUAUCAGAACUAAAAUAUUUGAGAAUGGGAACUGAGGAAAAAUUUGGUCGGCCCCGGCCCCGGCCCAACAGUGUGGCAGGUCAUAUAUCAUGUGACCAUCAUAACCCUAAACGGAAAUCAAGAAGAUGACACUGGGAGUUCUUUUCACAAUACCUCCUUAAAUAUCAUUCUUGCUGCCUACCAUUGCUUUUACGCUAGACUUCGUUUAUUUACUUGAUUGAGAAGUAGAAAUAGUACACUUUUCGGCAUUUAAUAAUACUUAUUAUUCAUAUACCCAGACUAUUUAUCGGUGGGGUGAGGAAGGGUGUUCAGAUAAAGAUAGAAGGUACAGGAGAAGGAAAAUCUGGCAUCCGUUUAGCUAUCUCCCAGUUUUAGGCGGAGCAAUGCCAUCAAAAGCCAGGGUAGACGCCAGACCGUCUAACCCGAUAGAUUAAUAUGGCUGCAUGUACAUGGAUCGUUCUCCUACAGUCGUGGGUUGGCGGGAGUUCUUUCACUGUGUAGAACCUUCAAAAUGUUCUGGGUGGUCCAAUCUGAAAUAGCCAUGUUCGUUACCAUCGGGUUAACGCCACUAGCACUGGGGAAAACAGACGCAUCAGCAACGUAAAGCCCUUCAGUUCCCCACACUUUUCCGCUGGGACUAACUACGCUGGAUUUCGGCGACGUGCCCAUACGGCAGGUACCCAUCUGAUGGGCACUUGCAAACACGGUAUGUUCAGGAGACAGCGGAGAGUACGUAUGGCGUACUUUUUUGAUCCAGGCUUGGAAUGCGGCAUGAUUGAUGCCUGCUUCGGGCCCGCAAGUGUCAGUUGCUGAACGUUCUGGUCGAAUGAACGAUGGAAUGUCACGACUUGAGGUAUAAAUUUCUUGAGCGCCGCAAACAUAAGCAACUUUCGCGGCGCCAAUAAUUGCUUCAAUCAUAUUUUUUCUAUCGAAGAGAGAGGGCGUGUAGGAUAUUCUACAUCUGCCGUCGACGGGGUCGGGGUAAACUCUCCCACCGUAUCGUUCACGGGUUACAGUGAUGAACCCAGCCAUGUUGCGAAGUUUUGAAACAAAGCGCUUGUACUCAAGGCCAUUGGUCCAAGGGAACACCGGGAGGAAAAACGAGGGCACUGUUGUUACCGUUUCGAUUUUCGCUCCAUGUCCGCGACCAUCCAAAUCUUCGAACUCGUUUAUCACAGCGGUG
rnacentral:sRNA from 1 species